rnacentral:rRNA from 1 species
AUUGAACGCUGGCGGCAGGCCUAACACAUGCAAGUCGGACGGUAGCACAGAGGAGCUUGCUCCUCGGGUGACGAGUGGCGGACGGGUGAGUAAUGUCUGGGGAUCUGCCCGAUAGAGGGGGAUAACCACUGGAAACGGUGGCAAUACCGCAUAACGUCGCAAGACCAAAGAGGGGGACCUUCGGGCCUCUCACUAUCGGAUGAACCCAGAUGGGAUUAGCUAGUAAGCGGGGUAACGGCCCACCUAGGCGACGAUCCCUAGCUGGUCUGAGAGGAUGACCGGCCACACUGGAACUGAGACACGGUCCAGACUCCUACGGGAGGCAGCAGUGGGGAAUAUUGCACAAUGGGCGCAAGCCUGAUGCAGCCAUGCCGCGUGUAUGAAGAAGGCCUUCGGGUUGUAAAGUACUUUCAGCGGGGAGGAAGGCGAUGUGGUUAAUAACCGCAUUGAUUGACGUUACCCGCAGAAGAAGCACCGGCUAACUCCGUGCCAGCCGCCGCCGCGG